AAAGUUCUGACACAUUUGCUGGUCGAUUUUUUACAGUCUUUGAGUGAUCUCCCUUGAUAUUUGAAAAUCACAUAAUUCACAAAAAUAUUUUUAAUAUAAUAUUGAUUCAUGAAAAAUGUUCCAUUUCCAUUAAUGAUGAAAAUUAUUUAUGAAAAAAUCUUCAUGCUUUUAAAAUCCCAUGGGCCUUUAAGGAGUAUAAUUUCGUAUAUUGGUUGUGAUAUCUAGUUUUAACAUGUUGCAAUAUUUUGAACUCGUUGUCUUGAAAAGUAUUCAAAGUUUUGUCUUUAUCUAUUUGUAAGUUAUAUUUGUAUAAUUUUGUUAUGGUUGUGAAACAUUUAAGUAGAGUCCGAAAUAGAUUACAACUGAACAAGAAUUCUUAUUUUCUCUAUGUGUAUAUGUCAUUCCUAGAUCACGGACAAUUAUAAGAUAAUACUCAAAGACAAAAGUUUGUAACAUUUCAUAUUUUUUGUAAGCCUCUUUCAUUUAUUAAACAUUGGAAGAAAAAAAUCAUUGCCACAAUUUUUAAGAAAUAACAAAAAAAAAAUGUUGAUUUUUUUUUUAACCUUUAAAUACAAUAUAUAUAUUAGUUAAUGCAGAAAAAAUGAAUUCAUCUGUUGGGAAAGUUUUGUCAAAAGCAUAUGUUAUUAAGGCAGUAUUUUUCACUUUUCCACAUUUCAGGUAGAAAAUCAGUAUACCAUUCAUGUAAAAUGAUGUAUAAAAAUAUAAUUGUCAAUGAUAGCACCAUUAUUUAUACUUAUGCAUGCCAACCACUUAUUAUUAUUUUUGUUUUGUUGCCUAUGACAUUGCGUAGGUUGUACAUUGUCUUAUAUGUGUAACAGUUCAUGAGCAAACUCUGCAUUUAAUGAACCAUACAUUGUACGUCUAUAUCAUAAUACGUGUAUUUUUCAUUGUAUCAACCAUCAACUUCAUCUAUAUGUGCACUAUUGGUCUUCCAUAUAAAAAAAAAACCAAGAUGCUUCAUUAUUGGAAAAUAAUAAAAAAUAUUUACAUUCC
rnacentral:sRNA from 1 species